rnacentral:rRNA from 1 species
UAAGUGGAGUAUUAUAUAGCGAAACUGCGAACGGCUCAUUACAACAGAUAUAAUUUACUAGUUCUUGUUUCUAUAUGGAUAACUGCGGUAAUUCUGGAGCCAAUACAUGCAUCAAGCCCUGGCCGUCCGGUUAGGGUGCAAUUAUUGGAGCAAAACCAGUCUCGUACUGUUUGCUAACUCAGGAUAAUUCUGCAUAUCGCAUGGUCUUGUACCGGCGAAGUUUCUUUCAAGUAUCUGCUUUAUCAACUAUCGUUGGUAGUUUAUUGGUCUACCAUGGUGUUGACGGGUAACGGAGAAUCAGGGUUUGACUCCGGAGAGGGAGCCUUAGAAACGGCUACCAUGUCUAAGGAUAGCAGCAGGCGCGAAAAUUACCCAAUAUCAAAACGAUGAGGUAGUGACGAGAAAUAACAAGAUCGUUCUCUUUGAGAUCGAUUAUUGGAAUGAGUACAAUCCAGAAAUUUUAACGAGUACCUACGAGAGGGCAAGUCUGGUGCCAGCAGCCGCGGUAAUUCCAGCUCUCGUAAUGUAUAGAAUUAUUGUUGCGAUUAAAAAGUUCGUAGUUGGAUUGCAACGCAGGUAUGGGUCCACCUUCUGGGUGCGUACUCAAUGCUUGCAUUUUGCAUGUUUUUGUGGCGUCGCUUCGGUGGCGUCAUGAUGCAUGCAGGAUUACUUUGAACGGCUCAAGUGCUUAAAGCAAGUCUUAUGACUGAAUACCGGUGCAUGGAAUAAUGGAACAAGGUUGUGGCUGAGUUUUAUUGGUUUUGUCGGCCAAAACAAUGGUUAACAGGAACAGCCGGGGGCAUUCGUAUCGCUGCGCGAGAGGUGAAAUUCGUGGACCGUAGCGAGACGUCCUACAGCGAAGGCAUUUGCCAAGAGUGUUUUCAUUAAUCAAGAACGAAAGUCAGAGGUUCGAAGGCGAUUAGAUACCGCUCUAGUUCUGACCGUAAACGAUGCCAACUGUCGAUCCGCUUGUGGAUUCUAUUCAUGAGCGGGGAGAUUUCCGGAAACGAAAGUUUUUCGGUUUCGGGGGAAGUAUGGUUGCAAAGCUGAAACUUAAAGGAAUUGACGGAAGGGCACCACCAGGAGUGGAGCUUGCGGCUUAAUUUGACUCAACACGGGAAAUCUCACCCGGCCAGUACAUCGUAAGGAUUGACAGACUGACAGCUCUUUCAUGAUUCGGUGAAUGGUGGUGCAUGGCCGUUCUUAGUUCGUGGAUUGAUUUGUCUGGUUUAUUCCGAUAACGAACGAGACUUUAACUAUUAAAUAGUGCGCAUGUUGCUUCGGCUGCGUGUGAUCACUUCUUAAAGGAAUUUGUGGUUUUCAACCUCAAGAAAUUGAGCAAUAACAGGUCUGUGAUGCCCUUAGAUGUUCGGGGCCGCACGCGUGCUACAAUGGUGGUAACAGCGUGAUUGUCCUUUUCCGACAGGAAUUGGCAAACAGUUGAGAUAUUAUUAUGGCUGGAAUUGAGUGUUGAAAUUUUCUCUCAUGAACGAGGAAUUCCAAGUAAAUGUGAGUCAUUAACUUGCAUUGAUUACGUCCCUGCCCUUUGUACACACCGCCCGUCGCUGCCCGGGACUGAGUUACUUCGAGAAAACUAGGGAUCGCUGGAGUUCGAUGUUUCGGCAUUGUCUUUGGUGAGAACUAGUUUAAUCGCAGUGGCUUGAACCGGGCAAAAGUCGUAACAAGGUAGCCGUAGGUGAACCUUCGGCUGGAUCAUUACCGAUCCUAUGACACACUUAUUCGUGCUCGUCACGAUGACAGUUCCGCACAGGCCCUCGGGUCUUGUGGGCUGUGAUGGUUUCGGCGUUUCGGCGUCGUUUCCUACCGAUUUUCACACGUGGGCCGCAAGGUUCUGCACGUGAACGGUGAAGUCUGGGUUUCUGUGCGCUGGUUGAGUCGACGUUUUACCGUGUUGACAGAUGAGACCAGCCGGCUGCUUGCCAYUCGUUGUGCGAGCGUAGGAUUGAAAAGCCCGAGCGGCUGCCCUGACAAACAUUCAUUUUACAUUUAUUUUGUUUAUGAAAAGAGUUCAAGUUACUCCGGUGGAUCACUUGGCUCGCGGGUCGAUGAAGAACGCAGUGAAUUGCGAUAAUAAGUACGAAUUACAGAUAUUAUGAGUACCAUGUUUUUGAAUGCAUAUUGCGCUCUUGGGCUUUGCUCUUGAGCAUAUCCGAUUCAGGGUGUGUUCCCAAACUCGAGUAGAAACGCCGUCUUGUUUUUCCGGUUUCUACACGUUUGAACAGUCGUCUCGCUUCGGUCCUGGUGAUUGGAGUUAGGCGGGUUGAGGAACGUUGAAACGCGGUGGCUUCGGCCCCGCGGCUUCAAGUAUUUGUUUGCUGCUGCUGUUUGCACGACAUCGGUUUCAACACGCUUCGGUCUUGUUUUGAGGUGUGUUGUUGGCCGGUCGCUCGUUCUAAACUGUUUGGAUGAUGGUUGCACAACAUGCCGUUAGGAUGUCUUAAUGAAAACUUUUGAAUCCUGGUUGUGUUACGCUGCUUCAUCUUGCUUCCGGGUGCCAUUCGGGCAGUGCGGCUACAUUUGGUUGAAACCACCUGAGUUGGGUAUGAUUACCUGCUGAACUUAAGCAUAUCAGUAAGCAGAGGAAAAGAAACAAACAUGGAUUCCCUGAGUAACUGCGAGUGAAACGGGAAGAGCCCAGCGCUAAAGGUUGGCGGCCUCGGCUGUUGACCGGUGUAGCGUAUAGAGCUUUCGUUCGUCUUGUCCUGGCUGGCUUAAGUCUCGUUGGAACGCGGCGGCCAAGACGGUUUUACCCCGGUAAAUCUGGCUGGACUUGAUGAGUGUUGGUUCUGGGAGUCGGGUUGUUUGGAAACGCAGCCCAAAGUUGGUGGUAAACUUCACCUAAGGCUAAAUACGACCGCGAGACCGAUAGAAAACAAGUACCGUGAGGGAAAGUUGAAAAGUACUUUGAAAAGAGAGUGCAAGAGAACGUGAAACCGGUGUAAUGGAAGCGAAUGGAGCCGACGUAUCUAGUGCGUAUUCAGCCUUCUGGGCGUGCGAUUGGGGUUUGUGUAUUUCCGCAAGGUGUACCUGGCUUCAUUGUCGUGCGUUCGGUUGGUGCAUUUGCGUACGGAGUGCGUCGGGUCGUGUGGUGUUGUCGGACGAAGCGUUUUUAGAGGACCCGGGUUUCGGCUUGGGAACCCUGAGGGCGUGGAGUUCGGUUGGCGCUGCGCGGCUUUGUGGAGACGUGGGUUUUUCGCGUGCCGCGGUGUCGAUUGGCUCGGUUUUGGUGGUACACAUGUGUGCAGCCAUUAUGGGGUUUGUCGGUGUUGUGGCGUGCUCUGCGUUCUUCCCGAUGUAUAGUCGGUGACCCAUUCGACCCGUCUUGAAACACGGACCAAGGAGUUUAUGGUAUGCGCGAGUCAUUGGGUUUUGAAGCCUAAAGGCGUAAUGAAAGUGAGACAUUACUUGUCUGAACGUGACUGGGUGCGGCAUUCGUGCGGCCCAAGCAACGUUGCCCCGUUUCGAGGACUUGUCCUGAUGCGGAGGUUGAGCGUAUGCUAUGAGACCCGAAAGAUGGUGAACUAUGCCUGAACAGGACGAAGCCAGAGGAAACUCUGGUGGAAGUCCGAAGCGGUUCUGACGUGCAAAUCGAUCGUCUGAUUUUGGUAUAGGGGCGCAAGACUAAUCGAACCAUCUGGUAGCUGGUUUCCUCCGAAGUUUCCCUCAGGAUAGCUGGUGCACAUUCGAACAGAUAUACUCGGUAAAGCGAACGAUUAGAGUUCUUGGGAUGUAUUAUUCUCAGACUAUUCUCAAACUCUAAAUGGUUAUGAUGUUGGUGUUGCUUAAUUGAACACUGACUUUGAUUGUUGUGCUCCAAGUGGGCCAUUUUUGGUAAGCAGAACUGGCGAUGUGGGAUGAACCAAACGCGGAGUUACGGUGCCUAACUAUUCGCUCAUGAGACCCCAUGAAAGGUGUUGGUUGAUAUAGACAGCAGGACGGUGGCCAUGGAAGUCGGAAUCCGCUAAGGAGUGUGUAACAACUCACCUGCCGAAUCAACUAGCCCUGAAAAUGGAUGGCGCUCGAGCGAAUGACCUAUACUCUGCCGUCGUUGAGACUUGUGCAAUCUCUCGACGAGUAGGAGGUACGUCGUAAUGGCGUUGAAGUUGUUGGGCGUGAGCCCGAAUGGAGCCGUUAUGAGU